GACGAACGCUGGCGGCGUGCUUAACACAUGCAAGUCGUACGGUAAGGCCCUUUCGGGGGUACACGAGUGGCGAACGGGUGAGUAACACGUGAGUAACCUGCCCACAACUUUGGGAUAACGCUAGGAAACUGGUGCUAAUACUGGAUAUGUGCCCCUGCUGCAUGGUGGGGGUUGGAAAGCUCCGGCGGUUGUGGAUGGACUCGCGGCCUAUCAGCUUGUUGGUGGGGUAGUGGCCUACCAAGGCGGCGACGGGUAGCCGGCCUGAGAGGGUGACCGGCCACAUUGGGACUGAGAUACGGCCCAGACUCCUACGGGAGGCAGCAGUGGGUAAUAUUGCACAAUGGGCGCAAGCCUGAUGCAGCAACGCCGCGUGCGGGAUGACGGCCUUCGGGUUGUAAACCGCUUUCAGCAGGGACGAAGCUUUUUGUGACGGUACCUGCAGAAGAAGCACCGGCUAACUACGUG
rnacentral:rRNA from 1 species